CCGGAUUUAUUCUCGGGGCAGUUUGUAAGGGGUUUGGGUGACCAUCAUAAAUUUUCCCCUGACGAUUUGAUUGCUGCUGUUUUGGCUUUUUUGUAUAUUUCAAAUAGUCAUUUUAGUCGCUUCAUCCCCAGCGAAGUUCUUUCAACCCAGUGACUCAGAUUGGAUAGCAGUACAGCCUUGGCAGUGAAACAAAUGAAUUUUAACGCGGAUUGUAAAUUCUGUUAUCUAGAAAAGGCAAACGAGACAUUCGCAGCUGCAAAAUUUUUUUUAAAUAUCUGAUAAGCGUAGCUAAAAAAACGCUCUGAUAGCUACUUAUGAGCACACAGAAAACUACAGAGCAACAUGGCACUUAUUGGCAGGAAUCCUAUUCAAGAAUAUUAGCUGUUUCUGGUUGCACUCACUUCUACCUGUUACUCACUUUGGCUCACUUUACCCCUGACUGGGCCUUAAACACACGCGACUUUUAUCGGAGUGAUAAUAAUUUAAGGCAGGGCAGUAGGUGGCAGGCGAAUGGGCGGUGGGUUCAGGGCUGACAACUGUUAAUCAACAAAUUGAUGACGGAACGCAGCACAUGCGGGUGCUACAUUUCAUUUACUUUCGAUUUUGCACGAUGCGUUGGGAGAGCACAAACAAAAGUACAUAGGUGGAACAGUGGCUGUCGAAGGAGGGAGGCGGAAGAGGGGGCGUGGCAGGCGCAAACUGGCGUCGACGACAAUUGGAGACCGCACUCGAAGCCCAGGCCAGACGCUAAUUUGAUAUUUUAAUGGCUUUUUGUUUGCAAAUUACGCUCGACUCGACGUCGCCUGCACUUCCCCCGCUGCCCCUCGUACCUACUCUCCCAUGCCGAAGCACUCUUUAAAUGAGUCGUUUGAGUCUAAAAUAACGGCGCUAGUUGUGCGGCACUGGAUCCAUGUG